UUUUCCCCUGGUCACAAAGCUUUCCCAGUUCUGCUUCCCAGUCUCACCCCAAACCUGACCAUUUCUACCUUCUUUUUCUUUCAAUAAAGGCUUUUCAAAGUUUAACUUUUUCUUCUCUUUCUUUGGUCAAUUUUUUUUUUUUUAUGAGAGUGCAUGCUCCCCACAUAUUUCACAUGGCCUGCAUUUUUAUGAAUCCAAGAAUAAAUGCAUUUUUUGGCUAACAACUAGGAAGUAUUUUUAGACUGAUAGGGCUGUAUUUUUGUCUUUUGCACAGCAUAACGUAAUGCAAAGCAGAUGCGGUUGCAUGCAGGACCCUUUCAUUCAGCACCCGGUUUCAGAUGUGCUGCCGGCACACUGCGUCCCUUGAGAAAUACAUUAACACUUUAAUAAAAAACUCAUCUGACCCAAAGUAGCUCAACCUAGGGGGGUGAGCCAGCCAAAGAAUGAGAAGCUGAGAUCUUGCCUCUUUCUUCGAACUUCUUUGGGUCAGCUGCAUUUUAACCUUGGCUUUGCAGGGGAGGGGGAUUUUGCAGUGGAGAUGUUCAGCUAGCAAGUCAAGGAGAGCACAGAGGGUAGUGGGAAUAGGGGUGAGGUUCAAAGCCAGAAGAGAUUACCGAGGGCAGAUGAGAACACUCCAGACUCAUCACUGUCGUUUUCCUCUACGAUUCUCAGCUCCCUGACAGAGCAAGACCACACCCCAGAGGAGCCUACGUGACAAAGAGAAAGAACUCUGCCAACCUAUCCCACUCACAGAAUCUUCCGCUUGUCAACAGAUCUGGAAGCAACCUCUGUCAUCACCGACUUCAACAUCCUUAUACAGCUACACUCAGGCCAACACUCGGGACUACCUUUGCUUAGUACCAUUAUCACCUGAGUAGGUAUCAUGAAUGAAAUCGAGACCCAGAGAAGGUAAAUCUCUCAUCCAAGACAACAGGGCUCGGAGUAUAGCACACUCAUUUCCACACAGUCCAGCAGGCUUGUUGUCAGGACCGAUACAAAACUCCUAGAAUAUUCCUGGUGUGACUGAGGACUGGUUUUCUCCCUGCCAGCUGAGGGUUAAACCUGAAAAUAUGCCAGCAGGGUUUCACUUACUCUGCACACAGGAAUUCUAUGCAUUUUAAAUCAAGAGAUCCUGGAUCCCAGUAGAUGAAAAGGGUUCAUAGGGCCGGAAGGGCCAAGCCCGUGUGAGCAUUGUGCAUUAUCUUAUUUCACUCUAGAGAAUAAAAGCGAGGCGGUAGAGGGUUGGUCGUGCUUAAAAUCCUUCAAGGCAGAGAGUUAUUUCAACUCUGCUAUGAUUGGAGCUAGGCGGGCAUAUUUAUUCUAUCCCAAUAAAAUAAACAGUAAAAGCGAAGACCAAUAAGAAAAAAAAUUAUUGCAAAUAUCGCAGAUUUAAGCCCCUAUUAGAAUCAAAAUUAAAGAAAUAUCUACAGCCUUCUGUGGCUAUACGCCCAAGUCUUCUUUUCUCUGAAAAAUCUUUUGAGGUUUGAGAAUAGCUCCAGGGAGAAUAAAUGGAAGGUAACUGGGAUGUCGGCCUGUCAGUAUCUGACUGGGAAAAUGACCAGCCUGAAAGAGUGGCCAUGAGGUUUGCCUUGCAGAUGGGCAGCAUGAACAAUGAAUGAAAGCUGUGACGUAGCUCGAAGAGCUGGCCGCUACAGGAAGAUCAGAUGGGGCAGGUGAUAAGCCUUCUCAGAGCUUUGUUCUCUUCACAUGGAAGUAAUGGUGAUAAUACUUCCCUCAUACAAUUGUUUUUACUAGGUUGAUUGAUGGCAUAGGUGAAUAUUUAAUAAUAAUUGUUAACCUUUUUCUAACCCUUACUACGUGCUAACGCCCUGUCCUGGAUUUGUUUGUUGGUGUUUUAAGUCUUACUUGUGUCAGAAGAAACUUCAGGCAAAUGAUUUAUUCUUUAUCCCUUUAGCCUUUCUUUAUUCUCUGUGGAGAACAAAGCUCCGGAAAUUAAUCAUUUUGCCUACCUCAUAGAGUUGCGAAAAUUCCAGAAGUUAGUCUGUGAACAUGAUCAUCCGAGUGUAUGACCUGGAUUCCCAGGUGACCACACACAGAACAUCGGAGAAGCACUGGUCUAGAGAACACCUCACUUCACAGAUGUGGAAACUAAGGCCCAGAAUAGAUGAUGACCAUGACCUAGACAUCUUCCUUUGUGUUUACCAUGGCUGACAAAGACAACUGACCCUGUUUCCUUGUUCCAGUAACUGCAGCCAGGCCAGCCCAUGGUGAGCCCCCUAGGGAAUCAGUCAGAUGUCUGAGCUGUUGCAGGAAGCUUGCCUGCAGACAGCGCACAAGCCGCAGGCCAUCAAGCAGGGCCCUGG